GCUAGGUGUGGUGGCACAUCUGUAAUUCCAGCUACUUGGGAGGCUGAGGCAGGAGGAUGGCAAGUUCUAGGCCAACCUGGGCAAAUUUAGUGAAACCUUGCCUCAA
rnacentral:sRNA from 1 species